rnacentral:lncRNA from 1 species
UUUGCAGAAGCUUGAGAUAACCAUACUAUUAAAUCACAUACUAACCAAUGUAUUUGUUCAUGGCUGCAUAGGUGAGCAAAAAUGUAAACAUCUGAAACAUAAAGGUGACAUUCUUAAAACGGAAAACUUUUUGCACUGAGAACAUAACUUUCUAAAGUUAAUAACAAGGGAUCCUUGAUUACUACCAGACCCCUCUGAAAGGGAAAGUGAGGCUGUCAAGCUAAGCAUUUUUUACAGGACAUAAUUUAAUUACCUAUGGAUCAAUGUGGAAGAAUAGGCUGGGAUCUGACUUGACAUCAAUGCACUUUUAAUAUUUCAGAUAAUGUAUUUUACAUUCAGUUUUGGAAUAUGUGCCAUGACCAAACAUGUUUUUGCAGAGUAGAACAGAAAUCAAGACUGCCAUUUCUACUACAUGCGUACGCACAUAUAGGGUGUAUUCAAAAACAGAAUUGCCUACUUCCUACAUGGUUUUCUAAGGCAUUCAUUAUCUAUGUGAGCCCCUAAAUUCAAGUAUAGUCUUGGCAUGAGGAAGAUUUUUCGAUGCCAAUAUGGAGAUUAAGUACACUAUACUUGCUUUAUACAUGAAUUUCCAGCAUUUAAUAAAGUUCCUGUCUACCUUCAGUGCAUUUUUGUAAGGAGCCCAGAGAGUAAGUUGACCUUGUGAAGUUCCAUUAUCCAGGAGAGGACCAAAGACAUGGUUCUGAGGUCGGGCAUUUGUUUGGUGUUUCAACAAUAUUGUUUUCAUUAUAGUGAGCUUAAAUAAGCAUUAGCAGCCUUUCUAUCAAAGAAAUUAGUCCUUAUGUGAAGGACCUAUAAAUAAAAUUGUUAUACAGUGGAAUAAUAGGAGCAUGUAAUGAAACUUGAUUUCUAGCCAAACAAACAUAUGGACAUUAAAAAUAAAAAAAGGAAAAUGUUCACUACAUGGGUCCCAUGUGGGAUGAUUGAAGCCAUCCACUAACAUCUGGAUUCUAUACAUUUAGGAGCACUAGAUUCUUUCAGGCAGGAGACUGCUCUUACUAUCUAGGAGUGUUGGAUGUGAGAAGAUGUGGUUUCUUGCGGAAGAGGAGAGGCUAAGUUUUCAACAGUUAUCACACUUUGGUUUAACACAUUUUAAUGGAUAGUGUAAUAUUAAGUGUCAUGACAUAAGCAGUGUUAGUAAUUACAGCCUUAGCUAUUAUCUCAAAGCAAGUAAUGAUACCUCCAUUUUGUAUAAAGAGUGACUUUACAAAUAUCUGCAUGGUUUUAGUUGUCUGUAUCAGACCUCUUGUUAAUUUCAUAUAUUCGUUUUUACUUUCAGGCAUUAAGUCAUUCAAAACCUUUAUGGAAUCCCUAACUGUCAAUAAGACAUUCUCUUAAGAAAUAAAACUAUAUCACUUUAUCUACCAAAACAGUCCAUUCAUUCCUAAAAUCCUAGAAACAAUAUUUUCAUAUACCUCUGAGUUUUCCUAGUCUUCUGUGACAGUGUAAAGUAUCAAAAUAGUGAACUAUAGUUGGAUAGUCUACUUGAACUUUUUAUGAAUUUUAAAAACAGUGAAAUACCAGUUGCCUGUAAGAGAAAUCACCUUAAAAAAAUUUUAACUUCUGGGGUACAUGUGCAGGAUGUGCAGGUUUGUUACAUAGGUAAACGUGUGCCAUGGUGGUUUGCUGUACCUAUCAACCCAACACCUCGGUAUUAAGCCCAACAUGGAUUAACUAUUUUUCUUGAUGCUCUCCCUCCCCCACACCCCUUGACAGGCCCCAGUGUGUGUUGUUCCCCUCCCUGUGUCCAUGUGUAAGAGAAAGCACUUCAGUUGUUGUUUUUUUUGUUAUUGUUGUAGCACCUAAAAUUGUAUUGGUCCAUAAAAAUGCUAAAUAAAAAAUAAUUCUGUUAACUAAAAUUUCCCACUGAGUAUUUUGACAAGAAGAAAUUAAUGGUUAAGACAACAUAAAAAGUCAGCUCAGCACAAAUGAAUAUGCACACUCAUUGGAAAUUUCCUACUACACAUUUGAGGCUGA